rnacentral:rRNA from 1 species
UACGAAGGGGGCUAGCGUUGCUCGGAAUCACUGGGCGUAAAGCGCACGUAGGCGGACUCUUAAGUCGGUGGUGAAAUCCUGGAGCUCAACUCCAGAACUGCCUUCGAUACUGAGAGUCUCGAGUCCGGGAGAGGUGAGUGGAACUGCGAGUGUAGAGGUGAAAUUCGUAGAUAUUCGCAAGAACACCAGUGGCGAAGGCGGCUCGCUGGCGCGGUACUGACGCUGAGGCACGAAAGCGUGGGGAGCAAACAGG